rnacentral:rRNA from 1 species
AGGCCGCGGGUGAUAAGAUCAGCGGCCGAGAGGGAAAGAGCCCAGACCGACAGCUAAGGUCCCCAAACUUGGCUAAGUGGAAAAAGGAAGUGGAGGUGCUAAGACAGCUGGGAUGUUGGCUUAGAAGCAGCCACCAUUUAAAAAGUGCGUAAUAGCUUACCAGUCGAGCACCUCCGCGCCGAAAAUUAACGGGACUCAAGCCAAGUACCGAAGCUUCGGGUGCAUGGAGACGAGAGGAACCAUGCGCGGUAGGGGAGCGUUCCAUGUGCAGCGAAGGCCGAGCGUGAGCGCGGUUGGAGCGCAUGGAAGUGAUUAUGCCGGAAUUAGUAGCGAGAAAAGGGGUGAGAAUCCCCUUCGCCGCAAGCACAAGGUUUCCUGGGCAAGGUCAUUCCUCCCAGGGUUAGCCGGGACCUAAGACGAGGCCGAAAGGCGUAGUCGAUGGACAGCAGGUAGACAUUCCUGCACCACCGCAUAUGCGAUUAAGAACAAAUAGCAGGGACACAGGAGGAUAGUGGAGCCGUGGGGAUGGAAAGCCACGGCCGUAACACAAGGUUAGGGUGCAGUAAAGUACGUGCCCUAAAUAAAACCAAGUGUUGCGGGGAAUUGUACUAUGAAGUCCACAAAUUCACACUGGCGAGAAAAGCUGCGAUUUGGAGUAUAUGAGGUGCUCGUACCGCAAACCGACACAGGUGCGCGAUGAGAGAAUCAUAAGACGGACGGGAUAACCCUUGUUAAGGAACUCGGCAAAAUGACCGCAUAACUUCGGGAGAAGCGGUGCCACCCUCACGGGUGGUCGCAGUGAAACGGCCCAAGCGACUGUUUACCAAAAACACAGGUCUGUGCGAACACGGAAGUGGAAGUAUACGGGCUGACGCCUGCCCGGUGCUGGAAGGUUAAGAAGAUUUGUUAGCCGCAAGGUGAAGCAUUGAAUUGAAGCCCCAGUGAACGGCGGCCGUAACUAUAACGGUCCUAAGGUAGCGAAAUUCCUUGUCGGGUAAGUUCCGACCCGCAUGAAUGGCGUAACGACUUGGGCACUGUCUCAACAAGGGACCCGGCGAAAUUGAAGUAUACGUGAAGAUGCGUAUUACCCGCGACUGGACGGAAAGACCCCAUAGAGCUUUACUGUAAUUUCAUAUUGUUUCUCUGAAAGUUUUGUACAGGAUAGGUGGGAGACAUCGAAGCCGUGGCGUUAGCCAUGGUGGAGUCAACCUUGGGAUACCACCCUAAACUUUCGGGGAUUCUAACCGCAUGCCGUGAUCCGGGUGUGGGACAGUGUGUGAUGGACAGUUUGACUGGGGCGGUCGCCUCCUAAAGAGUAACGGAGGCGUUCAAAGGUACCCUCAAAAUGGUUGGAAACCAUUUGUAGAGCGCAUAGGUAUAAGGGUGCUUUACUGCAAGACCUACAAGUCAAGCAGUUACGAAAGUAGGACUAAGUGAUCCGGCGGUAGAGAAUGGAAUUGCCGUCGCUUAACGGAUAAAAGUUACCUCGGGGAUAACAGGCUGAUUCCUCCCAAGCGUCCACAGCGACGGAGGAGUUUGGCACCUCGAUGUCGGCUCGUCACAUCCUGGGGCUGUAGCAGGUCCCAAGGGUUCGGCUGUUCGCCGAUUAAAGUGGCACGCGAGCUGGGUUCAGAACGUCG